UACGUAGGGUGCAAGCGUUAAUCGGAAUUACUGGGCGUAAAGCGUGCGCAGGCGGUUCGGAAAGAAAGAUGUGAAAUCCCAGGGCUUAACCUUGGAACUGCAUUUUUAACUACCGGGCUAGAGUGUGUCAGAGGGGGGUGGAAUUCCACGUGUAGCAGUGAAAUGCGUAGAUAUGUGGAGGAACACCGAUGGCGAAGGCAGCCCCCUGGGAUAACACUGACGCUGAGGUGCGAAAGCGUGGGGAGCGAACAGG
rnacentral:rRNA from 1 species